AUUGAACGCUGGCGGCAGGCUUAACACAUGCAAGUCGAGCGGGGUGAUGGUGCUUGCACUAUCACUUAGCGGCGGACGGGUGAGUAAUGCUUAGGAAUCUGCCUAUUAGUGGGGGACAACAUUUCGAAAGGAAUGCUAAUACCGCAUACGUCCUACGAGAGAAAGCAGGGGAUCUUCGGACCUUGCGCUAAUAGAUGAGCCUAAGUCGGAUUAGCUAGUUGGUGGGGUAAAGGCCUACCAAGGCGACGAUCUGUAGCGGGUCUGAGAGGAUGAUCCGCCACACUGGGACUGAGACACGGCCCAGACUCCUACGGGAGGCGGCAGUGGGGAAUAUUGGACAAUGGGCGGAAGCCUGAUCCAGCCAUGCCGCGUGUGUGAAGAAGGCCUUAUGGUUGUAAAGCACUUUAAGCGAGGAGGAGGCUACUUUAGUUAAUACCUAGAGAUAGUGGACGUUACUCGCAGAAUAAGCACCGGCUAACUCUGUGCCAGCCGCCGCGGUAAGAC
rnacentral:rRNA from 1 species